CCUACGGGAGGCUGCAGUGAGGAAUAUUGGUCAAUGGGCUUACGCCUGAACCAGCCAAGUCGCGUGAGGGAAGACUGCCCUAUGGGUUGUAAACCUCUUUUGUCAGGGAGCAACGCCGGCUACGUGUAGCCGGACUGAGAGUACCUGAAGAAAAAGCAUCGGCUAACUCCGUGCCAGCAGCCGCGGUAAUACGGAGGAUGCGAGCGUUAUCCGGAUUUAUUGGGUUUAAAGGGUGCGUAGGCGGAAUGCCAAGUCAGCGGUAAAAUCGCGGGGCUCAACCUCGCUCCGCCGUUGAAACUGGCGUUCUUGAGUGGGCGAGAAGUAUGCGGAAUGCGUGGUGUAGCGGUGAAAUGCAUAGAUAUAAGGAAGAACACCAGUGGCGAAGGCGGAUGACUGGACGGCAACUGACGGUGAGGCGCGAAAGCGUGGGGAGCAAACAGGAUUAGAUACCCCAGUAGUC
rnacentral:rRNA from 1 species